GUGGGGAAUCUUGCGCAAUGGGCGAAAGCCUGACGCAGCCAUGCCGCGUGAAUGAUGAAGGUCUUAGGAUUGUAAAAUUCUUUCACCGGGGACGAUAAUGACGGUACCCGGAGAAGAAGCCCCGGCUAACUUCGUGCCAGCAGCCGCGGUAAUACGAAGGGGGCUAGCGUUGCUCGGAAUUACUGGGCGUAAAGGGCGCGUAGGCGGACAGUUUAGUCAGAGGUGAAAGCCCAGGGCUCAACCUUGGAAUUGCCUUUGAUACUGGCUGUCUUGAGUACGGGAGAGGUGAGUGGAACUCCGAGUGUAGAGGUGAAAUUCGUAGAUAUUCGGAAGAACACCAGUGGCGAAGGCGACUCACUGGCCCGUUACUGACGCUGAGGCGCGAAAGCGUGGGGAGCAAACAGGAUUAGAAACCCGGGUAGCC
rnacentral:rRNA from 1 species